rnacentral:lncRNA from 1 species
AGAUGAUUGAUGUUUGCCUGCUUUGGGGUGCUGCAAGAUGUUAAACUGUCUGAGAUCAUAUAAUAUCUCUGAUACUGAAGGAAAGGCCCUGUUUUCUUGACCCUGCACUGAGUUUCAUCAGGACAUCAGAGGCGCCUUUACUAAAUAUCCUGGAUCAUGUCAUAAGGGACACAUCACAUCAACAAUAACAAGGCGUUCCCUUAUCCUUCCCUCCUGUCUGCGUGUUCACUUGGACCACCUUGCUUGGCUUUUCAACUGGCAUUUUAUGCCCUGAUCAUUCAUCAGUGUAGACUGCUCCAUGUGUUCAUUAUGGUUCUGCAGACAGCUAUACUGUUCC